UACGUAGGGUGCAAGCGUUAAUCGGAAUUACUGGGCGUAAAGCGUGCGCAGGCGGUUGUGCAAGACAGAUGUGAAAUCCCCGGGCUCAACCUGGGAAUUGCAUUUGUGACUGCACGGCUAGAGUGUGUCAGAGGGGGGUAGAAUUCCACGUGUAGCAGUGAAAUGCGUAGAGAUGUGGAGGAACACCGAUGGCGAAGGCAGCCUCCUGGGCCAGCACUGACGCUCAUGCACGAAAGCGUGGGGAGCAAACAGG
rnacentral:rRNA from 1 species